rnacentral:rRNA from 1 species
UACGUAGGCGGAAAAUUAAGUCAGUAGUGAAAUCCUGCAGCUUAACUGUAGAACUGUUAUUGAUACUGGUUUUCUUGAAUAUAGUUGAGGUAGGCGGAAUGUGUAAUGUAGCGGUGAAAUGCUUAGAUAUUACACAGAACACCGAUUGCGAAGGCAGCUUACUAAGCUAUGAUUGACGCUGAGGUACGAAGGCGUGGGGAGCGAACAGGAUUAGAUACCCUGGUAGUCC